GGGGCCGUAGCUCAGCUGGGAGAGCGUCGCGUUCGCAAUGCGAAGGUCGGGGGUUCGAUCCCCCCCGGCUCCA
rnacentral:tRNA from 1 species